rnacentral:sRNA from 1 species
UUAUGGCUUGGUCGGCCUUGGCCGAUUUC